rnacentral:rRNA from 1 species
AAUGAACGCUGGCGGCAGGCUUAACACAUGCAAGUCGAGCGGUAACAGAGAGAAGCUUGCUUCUCUGCUGACGAGCGGCGGACGGGUGAGUAAUGCCUAGGAAUCUGCCUAGUAGUGGGGGAUAACUUGCCGAAAGGUAAGCUAAUACCGCAUACGUCCUACGGGAGAAAGGAGGGGACCUUCGGGCCUUUCGCUAUUAGAUGAGCCUAGGUCGGAUUAGUUAGUUGGUGAGGUAAUGGCUCACCAAGACCGCGAUCCGUAACUGGUCUGUGAGGGUGAACCAUCACACUGGAACUGAGACACGGUCCAGGCUCCUACGGGAGGCAGGAGUGGGGAAUAUUGGACAAUGGGGGGAACCCUGAUCCAGCCAUGCCGCGUGUGUGAAGAAGGUCUUAGGAUUGUAAAGCACUUUAAGUUGGGAGGAAGAGCAGUUAACUAAUAUUUGACUGUUUUGACGUUACCGACAGAAUAAGCACCGGCUAACUUCGUGCCAGCCGCCGCCGUAA